AGUGAACGCUGGCGGUAGGCCUAACACAUGCAAGUCGAACGGCAGCACAGUAAGAGCUUGCUCGUACGGGUGGCGAGUGGCGGACGGGUGAGGAAUACAUCGGAAUCUACUUUUUCGUGGGGGAUAACGUAGGGAAACUUACGCUAAUACCGAAUACGACCUACGGGUGAAAGCAGGGGAUCUUCGGACCUUGCGCGAUUGAAUGAGCCGAUGUCGGAUUAGCUAGGUGGCGGGGUAAAGGCCAACCAAGGCGACGAUCCGUAGCUGGUCUGAGAGGAUGAUCAGCCACACUGGAACUGAGACACGGUCCAGACUCCUACGGGAGGCAGCAGUGGGGAAUAGUGGACAAUGGGCGCAAGCCUGAUCCAGCCAUACCGCGUGGGUGAAGAAGGCCUUCGGGUUGUAAAGCCCUUUUGUUGGGAAAGAAAAGCAGCAGGUUAAUACCCCGCUGUUCUGACGGUACCCAAAGAAUAAGCACCGGCUAACUUCGUG
rnacentral:rRNA from 1 species